rnacentral:rRNA from 1 species
AUGAACGCUGGCGGCGUGCCUAAUACAUGCAAGUCGAGCGAACAGAUGAGGAGCUUGCUCCUCUGACGUUAGCGGCGGACGGGUGAGUAACACGUGGAUAACCUACCUAUAAGACUGGGAUAACUUCGGGAAACCGGAGCUAAUACCGGAUAAUAUAUUGAACCGCAUGGUUCAAUAGUGAAAGACGGUUUUGCUGUCAUUUAUAGAUGGAUCCGCGCCGCAUUAGCUAGUUGGUAAGGUAACGGCUUACCAAGGCAACGAUGCGUAGCCGACCUGAGAGGGUGAUCGGCCACACUGGAACUGAGACACGGUCCAGACUCCUACGGGAGGCAGCAGUAGGGAAUCUUCCGCAAUGGGCGAAAGCCUGACGGAGCAACGCCGCGUGAGUGAUGAAGGUCUUCGGAUCGUAAAACUCUGUUAUUAGGGAAGAACAAAUGUGUAAGUAACUAUGCACGUCUUGACGGUACCUAAUCAGAAAGCCACGGCUAACUACGUG